GACGAACGCUGGCGGCGUGCUUAACACAUGCAAGUCGAACGAAGAACGACGGAAGCUUGCUUCUAUCAAUCUUAGUGGCGAACGGGUGAGUAACGCGUAAUCAACCUGCCCUUCAGAGGGGGACAACAGUUGGAAACGACUGCUAAUACCGCAUACGAUCUAAUCUCGGCAUCGAGGAUGGAUGAAAGGUGGCCUCUACAUGUAAGCUAUCACUGAAGGAGGGGAUUGCGUCUGAUUAGCUAGUUGGAGGGGUAACGGCCCACCAAGGCGAUGAUCAGUAGCCGGUCUGAGAGGAUGAACGGCCACAUUGGGACUGAGACACGGCCCAGACUCCUACGGGAGGCAGCAGUGGGGAAUCUUCCGCAAUGGACGAAAGUCUGACGGAGCAACGCCGCGUGAGUGAUGACGGCCUUCGGGUUGUAAAGCUCUGUUAAUCGGGACGAAAGGCCUUCUUGCGAAUAGUGAGGAGGAUUGACGGUACCGGAAUAGAAAGCCACGGCUAACUACGUG
rnacentral:rRNA from 1 species